CCUUUAAGAACCAAUAAGGUUCAUAACCAAGAGUAUUUGUAACCAGAAUGAGAGUAUGAGUAACCAAGAUUUUGAGAAUAAGUAGCCAAGAGAAUAGAGUAACCAGAAUGAGAGAUUUAGUAACCAAGAAUAAGAGAUUUUGCGGAAUAGAAAGGAGAAUAAGUGUUUGGGUGUUUGUGGGUGUUUGGACAGAGAUUUCCUCUGGUUUUCUUUGCUUAUAAAAGCCAAAGCAGCUCAGAUCUUUCAACUUGGCUCUGAUACCAUGUAAGAUUUCAAAGAGAAUGAGCUGCAAGAUCCAAUCUCCUCCAUAAACUCACAAGAAACUCACAAGAACACCAAAUCUGAGUUUGUGUGCUCUUGUUUAUAACAAUCAAGAACGAACUCAAUGAGAGCUAUUCUUGAGGUUAUAAACUAAGUAAUACACGCCCAUUUAAGCUGUAUACACUUGAGAAUAAGCAUUAGAGACAGCAGCACUCUCACACCAAAAACAGAACCCAAAACCCUUAUAGAAUCGAUUUAGAGAUUGAAAGAGAAUUGAAUGAGAGAAUGGGAUGAGACCAAGCAUUGCCAAAGCUUGGUCUCUCCAUGAGUUUGUGUGCUCUUGUGUAUAACAAUCAAGAACGAACUCAAUGAGAGCUAUUCUUGAGGUUAUAAACUAAGUAAUACACGCCCAUUUAAGCUGUAUACACUUGAGAAUAAGCAUUAGAGACAGCAGCACUCUCACACCAAAAACAGAACCCAAAACCCAUAUAGAAUCGAUUUAGAGAGUGGAAGAGAAUUGAAUGAGAGAAUGGGAUGAGACCAAGCAUUGCCAAAGCUUGGUCUCUCCAUGAGAGAAUAAAGAUCAGAACUUCCCCAUUUGUGAGUAUAAGACACGAUUUUAGUAUAGGGGAAGACUCCCCAAAGGAGAGCUUAACUUCUAUUAAGCUUUAAGCAUACAUAUAUAUACAAAAUGAAUGAGACACAUUGGGUGGCUUGUUGCUCUACUUCCCAACGUCUAUAUUGUUCAAAUACACUCACUUACAACCAAAAUAAAGUAGCUAAAGUGAAGAGAAAGUGACUUGAGGAGAGAGAGGGAGUUGCACCCAAAGCUUGAUAGCGACAGCUCCUAAACGGCUCUCUAGGUGCAACAUGUGACUCUUUCUUCUUCCUUCCCUUUAAACGACCAAAAUGCUUUCUUGUAGUGAUAGUGACAGCUUCUAGACUCUUCUUAACUUCACAUGUGAUUUGUUGCAACUUGCUUUGCUUCCAAACACAUGUGACACUUUUAUUUUCCCACCUAAACACAUUUGAAUGUGUUUCAAUACUUGUUGAGCGUUUGCAGCCUUUCUUCUAUUGGUUCUUGGGCUUCUAAGUGUUGACACAAGUCUUGGGCCUUCAUUAAACUCAUUUUCUCCAAGCCCCAUACGAACUGCCUUCUCUUUACCCAUCUUGAUUUCGACAAUUCCUACGGACCGAUCGUUCUACUAGAUAGAUCGAUCGGUCCCUUGUUGUUGAUCACAACAACUCAUGGAGGAUAGCUCAUGUCUUCAUCCAUAGAAGUUUUCUUCAGCCUUGACACUCUUAAGCUUCUUCUUAUAUCCAUGAUAACCCAUUUACUUUGAUCACAAAGUCCGUACGACAUGCGUUGAAUGCACUUAUGAUCAAACCACCGGAUGUAUGAUCUAGCUUCUUUCAUCACUUCUUCCCAUCGAGUUCAGUACCUUCUUGACUUGUGCUCAUUUAUUUCAAUACUCCCCCUCAAGCUUGACCGGAAUGGAUGGAGGUUAAGCUUGGACGUAAAUGAGCAUGAUCAAGUAUCACUCCUUGAACCACAUGAACUCGCCCUAGUCUUGUAGACUUUGGACUUGAGCUUUACCAUUAGCUUCUUCCUCUCAAUACUCCCCCUCAAGCUUGGACAUUGGGGACCAAAGACCAAGCUUGCAACACAUAAAGGACUACCUCGUUAAAAACCUUAGCAAAGAAAACCACUUGGGAUAAAACUUUGCUAAGGGAAAAAGAGUAUAGCCUUCAUGGUUGAAUGAUGUAGCUAUGGUCAUGGUUUGUAUGCGGGUUUGCUUAGGCUUCUUGCUUUGACUUCUUGUUGAGACUCUAAUCCUCCGUGUGUGUACUCGCUUAAGGAACUCCUCCUUUCGGUCACCACCAUGGAUUGAUCUUUCUUUGUUUAGUCAAUUCACCAUGAGCCUUGCUUCUUCCCUUUCCAUACCGUAGCUUUCAUGAUCCAACCGGUUCUCUUCUUCUCAUCUAGCUUCUUUUGAUGGCUUUCUUUCUCUUUUACACCUUCAUUCAAAAGAUGUAAAGAAAUCUUAAGUAUAUGUGCCAUAAGAAUAACAUUAAGCUUAGAUGAGACUUGAGAGAACAAACUUAUAUUGAACUNNN
rnacentral:lncRNA from 1 species